CAAUGCCUACAAAAUAAUGUUAAUGCACUAGAUCUCAUUAGAACUAUGUAGUUAAGCCUGCUUGGGAUAUAGUAGUGUUGGGAUGGGUGAUCGUUUAGAAAUUCCUAGUGUUUUACAUGCC
rnacentral:rRNA from 1 species